AUACGGAUAAUCCAUUCUUUAGUUAAAAGAUAUUUAUCACGAAGCGAUUAACCUUUCCUACAAUACCUCAAUGUGGAGCUAAAUUUUAUAAAAAUCGGUCUAACUAACCCCAGUCUCCCCUACCAAUGUGGUAAAUUGGUCCAGCAAGGAAAUCGAUACGCGCCGAAUUGACACCGCGCCGAAUUGACGUUGCGCCGAGUUGUCGCCGCGCUGAAUUGACGAUGCGCCGAAUUUUCCGCGCCGAAUUGACGUGAUACCCUGGCCAUAAUAUAUUAAUUAAUAAUUUUAUUAUAAAUCAGAAAUAUUACAAUAUGAAAU